GGUUGCCCUGAGUAUAGUGGCAUUUACAACUAAUUGAUCACAACCAAUUACAGAUUCCUUUGUUCCUUCUCUACUUUCACUGCUUCAGUGUACUAGCCUUUA
rnacentral:Y_RNA from 1 species